rnacentral:pre_miRNA from 1 species
AAACUAUUUCCUCCGUCCGAAAAUACUUGUCCUAAAAAUGCAUAUAAUGGAUGUAUCUACAAUUAAAAUAAGUCUAGAUAUAUUCAUCUUUAGGACAAGUAUUUCCGGACGGAGGUAGUAUCUU